AUGUUGUCAACAUGGUCCAGCAAACAAGAUUGUUGUGAAUGGAGAGGAGUUGUUUGUGACAUCAAUGGGAGAGUCACCAAUCUCACCCUCCCUUGUUCAACUGAUGACUACAUCAUUGACAACACAAAGAACAAAGCACAUUGUUUGGGUGGUAAACAUCCUGGAUUCAUGUAUUUUGGGGCUAUUGUAGACACGCCUUUGUUGUGUACAUAG